UACGUAGGGUGCGAGCGUUGUCCGGAAUUACUGGGCGUAAAGAGCUUGUAGGUGGUUUGUCGCGUUGUUCGUGAAAUCUCACGGCUUAACUGUGAGCGUGCGGGCGAUACGGGCAGACUAGAGUACUGCAGGGGAGACUGGAAUUCUUGGUGUAGCGGUGGAAUGCGCAGAUAUCAGGAGGAACACCGGUGGCGAAGGCGGGUCUCUGGGCAGUAACUGACGCUGAGAAGCGAAAGCGUGGGGAGCGAACAGG
rnacentral:rRNA from 1 species